rnacentral:sRNA from 1 species
CUGCCUUGUCGAUUGUGCACCUCCUCCCGAGCGGCCGACGCUGAAUGUGGUGCACCUCCGCGGCGCGCCGCAUUUUGAAUAGAGCCCGCCGCACCUCCUCCCGCGGCGGGCUUUUUCU